CAGAGCAUCAAAUGAUGCCUCUUCCUCAACAUUUCACAUCUCAUUUCAAAAGCGAGGCCUGCUAGGUUUCGGUGGCGCCAAUACAUCCCCAAACGAUGGAAACCGAUAUCUUGGAGGAGCUGCUAAAUGUAGAGGCGGAGCUGCAGGAGGUCCAAGACCAGAUAAAUACAUUGCUUCAUAGGCAAGAGAAACUGUAUGAGAAGCAAUCUGAACUGCAGUCCUUGUUGGAAGAAUUUAAAGCAUCAGGAAGCCCUGCCAAUGGGGGUGCGCCUGUUACUGUAGAGAACUGGUCAGGGACAUUCAAAUGGGAUUCUCAAGCUGAGGAUAUCAGGUUCAAUGUUUUCGGAAUCAGUACAUAUCGGGCUAAUCAGCGGGAGAUAAUAAAUGCAGUCAUGAGCGGAAGAGAUGUUCUGGUGAUAAUGGCCGCAGGCGGUGGCAAGAGCCUUUGUUAUCAACUUCCUGCCAUUCUCCAUGAUGGGGUGGCUCUUGUCGUCAGUCCUUUGCUUUCCCUAAUUCAGGAUCAGGUGAUGGGACUGGCAGCUCUAGGCAUCCCAGCAUACAAGUUGACUUCAACGACCACUAAGGAGGAUGAAAAAUUUAUAUAUAAGGCCCUUGAAAAAGGUGAAGGAGAGCUUAAAAUUUUGUAUGUGACACCAGAAAAGAUUUCUAAGAGCAAGAGAUUUAUGUCAAAGCUUGAAAAGUGUCAUCAUGCUGGUCGUCUUUCUCUUAUUUCAAUUGAUGAGGCACAUUGCUGUAGUCAGUGGGGCCAUGAUUUUCGUCCUGACUACAAGAACCUUGGUAUCUUGAAGACUCAGUUCCCAAAUGUUCCAGUUCUUGCUUUGACUGCAACUGCUACUCAGAAGGUCCAAAUUGAUUUGAUUGAAAUGCUACAUAUUCCAAAAUGUGUUAAAUUUGUCAGCACAGUUAACAGGCCUAAUCUGUUUUAUAAGGUACAAGAGAAGUCAUCUGUUGGAAAGGUGGUCAUUGAUGAAAUUGCAGAUUUCAUACGAGAGUCAUAUCCAAAUAAUGAGUCUGGGAUAGUUUAUUGCUUCUCCAGAAAAGAAUGUGAGCAGGUUGCAAAGGAUUUGUGCCAACGGGGAAUUUCAGCAGAUUAUUAUCAUGCAGAUAUGGAUCCAUAUGCUCGUGAGAAAGUUCAUCUGCGCUGGAGUAAAAACAAGUUACAGGUUAUUGUGGGAACAGUGGCAUUUGGUAUGGGAAUCAACAAGCCAGACGUCAGGUUUGUCAUCCACCACAGCUUGAGUAAAUCAAUGGAGACAUACUACCAGGAAAGUGGUCGAGCUGGACGAGAUGGGCUUCCUUCAGAGUGCCUACUCUAUUUUAGGCCCGGUGAUGUUCCUCGACAGAGUUCGAUGGUCUUCUAUGAGAAUACUGGCUUGCAAAAUCUCUAUGGUAUAGUGCGAUAUUGUCAGUCUAAAAGAAUAUGCCGGCGAAGUGCUUUUUUUCAUCAUUUCAGUGAGCCAUUACAAGACUGCAAUGGGAUGUGUGAUAACUGUGCAUAUGCAACUGAGCUCAAGGAAGUGGAUGUCACCCAUCAUGCAAAAGCCAUAGUCUCGCUGUUGCAAGAGAUGCAAGAGAAUGAUCAAAGGGCCACAAUGUUGCAAUUGGUGGACAAGGUCAAGGUCAAGGUCAAGCGGAGGGAAUUAGGUGGUUCAGCUGGCCCAGUUUCUGAUAUUAAGAAAGAGGAAUUGGAGCAGCUUAUUGUUCAGCUGAUAUUAGAUCGUGUUUUGAAAGAAGAAUUUCAGCAUACUGCUUAUGCGACUAAUGCUUACGUUACUUUAGGACCUCUGUGGAAGCAAGUAUUGCAAGGCAAGGAAGCUUUUCUCCACAAGGACAUUAAUUCUGUUGGAUGUUGAACUGAAUCUAAUUGCAAUAGUUCUGUUCAUUAGAAUAAAUUACCAAAGUUGGGCUAGCCCUACUCCUGCAAUAAUGAGGAACUAGCCCCCAAAAUGCCAUUACCAUCAUUUACUUGAAAUACAUGGAAGUGCCAAUCCCACUUUGGUCAUUGCCGCUACAAUGAAUUAUAGUUCAGCAUGAUUGAGUAUACAAACUCGUCCCGAUUGGGAUAAAAUAACUUUGAUAGUGGAUUUUCUGUUAGAAUUGUAGCAAUCUUUUCAUACUUCCAAGCUCUCAUCUGAACCUUGGAUGGCAUUUUUUCACUUUAUUUGAUUCCAGCAAACUUACAACUAUACGCCAAGAGAAUUUGGAGGCCUCUAUUCAGAGCUAUCUCAAGGUCCUGUUUGGUUACACAAAAAGUUCCAUGCGGAUAGCGUUAUCCAGAUAGUGGCACAUGUCCAUGGUUUGUGGACGAGCAUUGGCACCAAAAACAGAUUCAGGGUUGUAGAAUGAAGUAACUGUUGCCUUGUACAAUGCAAUUUCGAUAAGGAGUUAUAAGUAGCUAUUUUUUGUAUGUGUUGCAUGUACCUGUGACAUGAGUGAGACUGCCCAUCUUCAAGCAUCCACAUGCUAUAUCCAACCUUCAAGUGCCCACAUGUGCCACCGUAUAUCUUCAAGCACCCUACAUGUGCCACCGCGCACCUUCAUAACCCACAUGCCAGUUUCAAUCUACAAGAGCCCCGCAUGUCUGCAUGUGCUGUUGCGCCAAUGUUUACAAGAGCCGCAUAUGAUUGUCUGUUCCUCCAUAGCCUAGGUUUUUGAAAGAAAAAAAAAGUCAGUACAACAUAAUAAUUUACCUAUACAGUAUACACAAGGCUGUUCAAACAAUCCUUAGUUGGAUUGAUGUGUCCAAAAUAUCCUAUGCGAAUAGAACUUGAUGGUAACCAAACAGGCCCUAAGGUUUAGUCAAGAUAAUGGUAUUAAAGUAAGAAAAUUGUUCUUUUACCCACACGUACAUCUUGUGCCAUUUAUGGGUGUGUCCAUGUUCAGCAGUUGAUACAUGUCUUGUUGUCAUCUGAUAGGGAAGAAGACGAUUAAACUUGAAAUAUGCAUUGGACAGAAUGGUAACACUGGAAAUAUAAACGCUACCAAGCGUAGUAUGUCAUCAGGUUUAGAGAUGAAGCUUGAUGAGCUGCGGAAAGAGCUCUCUUCUAGUCAUGAAGGAAUAUUGCCACAUACCAUUCUUUCCACCCAACAGAUCAGCACGUUAAGUGCCGAAAAACCAACUUCCAUGGAGCAGUUGGAGAAGCUGAUCGGGAAGUUGAAGACUGAGAAGUAUGGAAGUAGAAUUCUUGAACGAAUACAGCAGUAUAUAGAGUCGGAGAGUGAUUCACGGAGCAGAGCUGAAGGCAGUGAAAGCAGAAGCAACAAGAGAUUAAAAACUAAAAGAGCUGUUGUUGUUGUAGAAAGCAGCAGCGGAGAUGAACAGGAAUAGAUCAGUUUAGAGGAUGCCAGAAUUUCUUGCAGAGAGGAAGCCCGAUCAUUUGACUGCUCCACCUUGUGAUGGCAAAUGUGCAUUCAAGUGGGGUAAUUGCUGGGAAUCAACGGGAAAAAGAGGUGGGAAAGAAGUGAUGAUGGAGAUCGUUCGAUCAGUGAUAUUUUGAACUGAGUCCCAUCCAGAGCACAGCCCGUUAAGUGAAAGUACCGAUGCAUUCUGCGAUCUGAUCAACUGCAACUGGUUGUUUCAUUACAACCCAUAUUUUUAGUGGCAAUGGAACAUGCUGGGGCUGAUUGCAUGGUACCAUCUGUGUUUUCGUUGUGUACAAGUGGGGCACACUGAAAAGGUUCCCAAAGUUUCAGCUAUCUGGGGCCCACCAACCGUGGUGAGUAUGUGACAUCCAAGCCGUCCAUCGAAUGCGGCCCAUAUCACCAUAGAAACUUCCAGAUGGUAUGUAUGCCUAAGGUGCGCAUUUACACCAUGAAAUCCAGUCAUCAGACGUCCAACCAAGAUGAAGGGACAUCCCAAAGAUAAGGCCAUGCCAUAAGUCAGGUGGUCCACUUCAUGUGUAUUUAGACGUUUUUGGCGUGAAUUUACUUUGUUCCUCGUGGUUUGGCCCACCUGAUUUUUGGGAAUGUAUCGUGAACACGAGGCAAUGCACCUAAUGAACAGUUUUGAUUCCUCAUGCACAUAAUGGUGGGCCCACAGAAGCUUGGACUGACUAAUGUCAUCAGACAUCAUUCGUUUUUCUCUGUCACGUGUAUGGUGGGACAUGGCUCGUUUGAUAGUUCUCAAUCAGUAGCGGGUGGACAUUGUACUGAUCAAAGCGCCAUUGGGUUGUCUACUCCCAGGCAAAAAAAAAAAACUUGGGACAGUCGUCCCCUUUUCAUUGAUCCGAACCGUAGAUAUAAUGGGCCUCA